AGACCGAUAGCGAACAAGUACAGUGAUGGAAAGAUGAAAAGAACUUUGAAAAGAGAGUGAAAAAGUACGUGAAAUUGUUGAAAGGGAAGGGCAUUUGAUCAGACAUGGUGUUUUGUGCCCUCUGCUCCUUGUGGGUAGGGGAAUCUCGCAUUUCACUGGGCCAGCAUCAGUUUUGGUGGCAGGAUAAAUCCAUAGGAAUGUAGCUUGCCUCGGUAAGUAUUAUAGCCUGUGGGAAUACUGCCAGCUGGGACUGAGGACUGCGACGUAAGUCAAGGAUGCUGGCAUAAUGGUUAUAUGCCGCCCGUCUUGAAACACGGACCAAG
rnacentral:rRNA from 1 species